UUCGUAGGUGGAUAAUUAAGUCAGAGGUGAAAUCCUGCAGCUCAACUGUAGAACUGCCUUUGAUACUGGUUAUCUUGAGUCAUUAUGAAGUGGUUAGAAUGUGUAGUGUAGCGGUGAAAUGCAUAGAUAUUACACAGAAUACCGAUUGCGAAGGCAGAUCACUAAUAAUGUACUGACACUGAGGGACGAAAGCGUGGGGAGCGAACAGGAUUAGAUACCCUGGUAGUCC
rnacentral:rRNA from 1 species